ACCACCCCCUCAAUGUGCACAUUGCUCUCAUCCUACUGUCCUUGCCAUCCUCCUUGGCGCGACCACCGUGAACAGCGGGGGAGGAGCCCCGAGAUCAUCCUCUGGCCUCUACAUCAUCUGAUCCCAUCCAAUUGCGCAACCCAGUGCGGUGGCAGCAGCAAUCCUCCGGUGACUCAUUGGCAAUGAGUCAUUGCGCAUUAGCGCUCUCACAAUUAUUUCCUUCUCCCUUUUUCUCUUGGGCGGAUUUCGGCAUCCACGAAUGCCGUCAUGAUUCCAGUUCGCCAGCUACAGUUCAAUUGCUCGGUACAGAUUCGCUGUCGUUUGAUCGCUAACGGCCGGGCCGGUUUGAAAUGGUGUGACCGCAUGGAGGGAGACAGGCUGGGCUUGGGAGGGAGCGGGCGGCAUGUACGCCAGGUGCUCGACGGUUUGCGCAGGCAGACGAACAGACCAUUCCACAUUAAUAGGCUUCUUCUGUUACUAUCGGGAAGAGUCUUUGGCUACUGCCAUACCAUCUAUCUUUUCCUUAUCAGCUAAACGGCAAUAUCGACUGAACAAAAGUAUGUGUUUGAUCCUCACAGGUACACUUCCUGACUGUUUGAUUAAGGGCAAGGCCUAUCUCAACAUUCAUUCUAUGUUGGUAUUUCCAAAAUUUAGCCACAUUUGGUUAGUGCAUAUAUACUCCAUUAUGCUAAUUAGGAAGCUAUACCAAACAUCUGUCACUGUCUUCCAUUUAAAUAUUUUUUGUAAGCACAUGGUGCUUCUUCUUUUUGCAAAUUGGUUGUCAACUGGAUAUUAGGUCUGCAUUUUAUACUGGCCAUAGGUAGGCUCAUAUCCAGACUACGUAAUGAUUUUGCUCCCUGGCAUGAUGCUCAGCCUAGACACAUAGUGCGGGCAGUAUACAAGUUGUUCCACGUCAAUUUCAAUUUGUGGUGCCAUAAAUUUCCUAGUCCCUUUCAUGCCAUAUGCUACUCAGGCCCAUACACGUGAUGCUACUCAAUUGCAGGCCAUCUUCUAUGAAAACGUCACUGUUAUUCUGAUAGGGUGCGAGCGUAAUUGGGUGGAGAGAGUUUGAGUGGAACACGAGUAAUUAAUGUUUGCAUGUUCGUUUCCAAGAAGAUUACACAAGUACCCAGAGAAAGUGAGAUAAAGGUGAAUUUCUGGAUUAUGGGAUAAGUUUUUGAAGUUAUAGCCAGAAGUUGAACAUAAAUCACCGCACAUGAUGCCGAUGUUUGAAAGCUGGACCAUAAAUCUUAGUUGGUGCUAAAGUGAAGUACUUCUAGGUACUGUUCCAUCCUCUCCACAAGAUGAAUGGAAUGGGGACCUGUGGGCGCCAAUGGAUGAGAAGAGAAGACAGGAUCGGACACUCAGCCAUGCAUGAUGCAGGUCUGCGUCCCGAGACGAGUCAUGCACUGCAACAUGGCCCCGUCUAGACAUGGCUGAGUGUCUAGACAGGAGGGGAUGGGGACACUCUGCCGCACUUGAUAGGCUGCUGCAAGCCUGCAAUCACGCUCUGAUUAACUGAAUCCAUGUGAUGUGUGCGAACUGCUGAUGUGCCCAACUUGUCCUACGCAUCAUUUGUACGUGCUAACUCUGGUUCAGGCCACAUGUAUUUAUCCCCAUGCCCGCCGCAGGAACAAGAAGAUACUGGCACUGGCGACCUGUAGCGGGCACUUCCAUGUGAUGCGAGCGAGACGACGGGGCGGUUUCUCGGCCAAACUGCGGACGGGUAUGGGAGCUACAGCUGCUUUUGUCGUCGUGAGAUUCGUGAAGCACUUCAUGGACACGGCCUCCUCUUUAUGUAUGUCCUCUUUUGUAGAUACGUUUGAUGCUGCUACUGUGGGUGGCACACAGGUCACAAGAUUUUUCAGGCUCUUCAGGAAAAAGUGAUGCUCGGCUUUGGAAACCAAGUCGUGAAUGUGGUGGCCGCGGCUCACAUGAUAACAGUGAUUCUUAUCCUUACACAGGCGUACGUGGGACUGCAUAUUUAUGGCCAUCGUCUUCUGGCCUUCUGGGGCGGGUUCAAGCUGGCAGCUGCACUUGUGUUGGGGGAAAUGUAAUAAUCUUUUUUUUGGAAAAUGAUAUACUAGGACAAGCCUACCUUGUAAUGCACACACUGCUAGCUGUUAGCCUCACAAA